UCAGGACGAACGCUGGCGGCGUGCCUAAUACAUGCAAGUAGAACGCUGAGGACUGGUGCUUGCACUGGUCUAAGGAGUUGCGAACGGGUGAGUAACGCGUAGGUAACCUACCUCAUAGCGGGGGGAUAACUAUUGGAAACGAUAGCUAAUACCGCAUGACAAUAGGGUACACAUGUACCCUAUUUAAAAGGGGCAAAUGCUUCACUAUGAGAUGGACCUGCGUUGUAUUAGCUAGUUGGUAAGGUAACGGCUUACCAAGGCGACGAUACAUAGCCGACCUGAGAGGGUGAUCGGCCACACUGGGACUGAGACACGGCCCAGACUCCUACGGGAGGCAGCAGUAGGGAAUCUUCGGCAAUGGGGGGAACCCUGACCGAGCAACGCCGCGUGAGUGAAGAAGGUUUUCGGAUCGUAAAGCUCUGUUGUUAGAGAAGAACGGUAAUGGGAGUGGAAAAUCCAUUACGUGACGGUAACUAACCAGAAAGGGACGGCUAACUACGUGCCAGCCGCCGC
rnacentral:rRNA from 1 species